GCUGUGUCUAGCUAAAGGAUUGUAAAAUGGACCAAUCAGCACUUUGUAAAAUGGACCCAACAGCAGGAUGUGGGCGGGGACAAAUAACAGAAUAAAUGCUGGCCACCCCAGCCAGCAGCAGCAACCUGCUUGGGUCCCCUUGCAUGCUGUGGAAGCUUUGUUCUUUAGCUCUUCACAGUAUAUCUUGCUGCUGCUCACUCUUUGGGUCGGCACCACCUUUAAGAGCUGUAACACUCACUGUGAAGGUCCACGGCUUCAUUCCUGAAGUCAGUGAGACCAUGAACCCACCAGAAGGAAGAAACCGCAGACACAUCUGAACAUCUGAAGGAACAAACUCUGGACACACCAUGUUUAAGAGCUGUAACUCUCACCAUGAAGAUCUGCAGCUUCAUUCUUGAAGUCAGCGAGACGAAGAACCCACCGGAAGGAAUAAAUUCCAGACACAUUUUGGCAACCACGAAGGGACUAUCACCUAUCACCAAGCAGAUCAAGGCCAUCAAGCUACAGAUGGUCUUACAAAUGGAAUCCCAAAUGAGCUCACCUAACAACUUCUACCGAGGAGCCCUGGACUGACCCACUGGCCCUUUGACUGGCCUAAAGAGUUCCUCUCUGGAGGACACUACAACUGUGGGGUACCUUCUUCACCCCUAUCCAGCAGGAAGUAGCUAGAGUGGUCAUUGCCCAAUUCCCAACAGCAGUUGGGGUGUCCUGUUUAGAGGGUGUAUUAAGAGGUGAAGCCAGCUGGACUUCCUGGGUCAAGUGGGUACUUCGAGAACUUUUCUGUCUAGCUAGAGGAUUCUAAACGCACCAAUCAGCACUCCAUGACUAAGGGAUUGUAAAUGCACCAGUCAGCACUCUGUGACUAGCUAAAGGAUUGUAAAUGAACCAAUCAGCACUCUGUAAAAACACACCAAUCAGCACUCCAUGACUAGCUAAAGGAUUGUAAAUGCACCAAUCGGCACUCUGUAAAAAUGCACCAAUCAGUGCUCUGUGUCUAGCUAAAGCAUUGUAAAAUGCACCAAUCAGCACUCUGUAAAAUGGACCAACCAGUGCUCUGUAAAAUGGACCAAUCAGCAGGACGUGGGCAGGGACAAAUAAGGGGAUAAAAGCUGGCCACCCCAGCCAGCAGCGGCAACCUGUUCGGGUCCUCUUCCAUGCUGUGGAAGCUUUGUUCUUUCACUCUUCACAAUAAAUCUUCCUGCUGCUCACUCUUUGGGUCUGCACCACCUUUAAGAGCUGUAACACUCACUGUGAAGGUCUGCGGCUUUAUUCUUGAAGUGAGCGAGACCACAAACCCACUGGAAGGAAGAAACUCCAGACACAUCUGAACAUCUGAAGGAACAAAUUCCGGGCUCAGCAUCUUUAAGAGCUGUAACACUCACUGCGAAGGUCCGCAGCUUCAUUCUUGAAGUCAGCAAGACCAAGAACCCAUCGGAAGGAAUAAAUUCCAGACACACAUAAACAUAUUGAUAUGAGUGUAUUGUAAAAAUUUGCAUAGAUAGCACAAAGAUGAAUUCUUUAAUAACAUUUGUGAUAUUUUGAGAAAAACUAAAUUACUUCAAUUUCUUAUUAUUUAUACAACAUCUAAACUUCAAGUGUAUUAUAAGACACAAAAAUGUGUUUAUAACACUGCAAUUGAUAGAACAUACCCAGUUGACCUUGAUAUGAAUCUUUUGUCAUGUGCUGACCUUGUAUCAACAGAGUUUCCAGAAACACGGAGUAACUUUAAAGGCAUUGGGAAAUAAAAAUAACAUUUGAUCUUUAAAAACAUAAAAUGACAAAUUAAAAAAAGAAAAACAAAGUAAGAAUUUAAUUAGCUGGUCUUGAUACCAAAUAUGAAUUAAAUAUUUUACAUGAGUUGUUAAGACUGUUUUCUUUUUCUUUUCUUUAAUUUGAUCAAAAUAAAAACAAGACAUGCAUAACCCAUAGAAAUUUGUCAUGUGGCAAAUCUAAGCUUUGUCGAUCUAAAUAACACAGACAGACUCUCUAAAAGAAAACGACAUUUACCUGUGAAUGGUCAUUGCAAUGGAAAUAUAUGUACCAUAAUAAACUAUGUGCAUUUCAAAGAGGUAAAGGAAAACUAAGAUGUUUAAAAGAAAAAUGAGCAGGAUUUCAAAAUUAUUGCAGUUAUUUUCCUUGGACACAGUAGUCAAUAGCAAGGCUGGUAUGAGUCCAGGGUUGAACAGGUAGUUGCUGGGCAGAUGUUCCCGUAGAAUAUAAUUUUUACAUAAUGCUGUGGUGGCCUUCGUGCAAAGUUGUGAUUUUUGCAGAGUUUUUAGUGAUAGUUGUUAUCAG
rnacentral:lncRNA from 1 species